CCUACGGGUGGCAGCAGUGGGGGAUAUUGGGCAAUGGGCGCAAGCCUGAUCCAGCAACGCCGCGUGAAGGAAGAAGGCUUUCGGGUUGUAAACUUCUUUCAUCAGGGACGAAGCAAGUGAUGGUACCUGACCAAGCAGCCCCGGCUAACUACGCGCCAGCAGCCGCGGUAAUACGUAGGGGGCAAGUGUUAUCCGGAUUUACUGGGUGUAAAGGGGGCGUAGACGGUGAAGGACGUCUGGAGUGAACGGCCGGGGCCCAACCCCGGGACUGCUCUUGAAACUGUGGGACUGGUGGGCAGGAGAGGCAGGCGGAAUUCCUAGUGUAGCGGUGAAAUGCGUAGAUAUUAGGAGGAACACCAGUGGCGAAGGCGGCUUGCUGGACUGUAACUGACGUUGAGGCUCGAAAGCGUGGGGAGCAAACAGGAUUAGAUACCCGUGUAGUC
rnacentral:rRNA from 1 species